AUACAAAUGCCCAUGUGGGAUGACAUCUGCAUGUUUUUGGACCCUGUUUUGUGUGCUAAAAUCUGACAGGUAAUUCAUGAAGCCAAUUGGGUUGCAGUGUUGAGGGGUUCAGAAUCUUGACUGUACUUGAACAGGUUCUUCUCCCUUGGAGCUUUAUCCUUUUCAGGACAAUAAGAUGGAGUUACAGGGAAGAGUUGUGAAGUUGGGAUCUGUCUUCUUCACAGUCAAGAGAAGCUUUUUAUCCUUUGAUGAAAAGUGAAGCUUUUGUUGCUUAGCAGUAAAGUUGAGUUAUGGACAACAGACAUCAAAUCUUGUGACUUGGAAGGAGACUUUCCAUGUGACAAUAAUUGAAAGAAUCAUAUUAUCAGACCUGAAAGCAAUGAGGGGGCAGCUGAUGGAACAAAUUCCUAGCACUUUUCCCUUGUUCCUCAGAAAAGAAAAAGAAGGCAUGCUAGCAUGCACUCAUGCGCGCACACUCUCCUAAGAGGUCCAGUUACUCCUACGUCCAUGGGCACAUAUGUUGACUGCAUCCAAAAGGGUUAUUCAAAUGAAGACCUUUUCUUCUGCUGUUCUGGAACCUCGCAGUUAUGGAGCAGAAGCAAUGGAAAACAAUGUUCAUGAUUGACAAACUAGCUAUUGCAGUAUAAAACAUGGAACUCAGGAAGAGAGGGAUCCAAGUCAUUUGGAGCAUGGAGUGCACCAACUACAGUUCAAAGUAAUGAAGGAAAGCAACAUGGUAUGUAACCAAGCAAAUUAGUUCCAUGAAGAUAGAAUAUUUAUGGAGAAAAAUGGAGAAAUAGUAUAAGCCUGCCAGUUACUUUAGGAAAGAAUCCACCAGUUACUUUCUUUACUCUAGAUUUACAUUUGUAGAAACUUUGGUCAACUCUACCUCAAAGUUAUACAGAGCUAAACAGUAGGUCAAACUCAAGAUAGUACUAAUAAAUGCUAGCAGUGCAAAGUCAGUAAACAUUUUUAUCUUCUGCUGCUUAUUACUUGUAAGUUUAGCUGCCACUGUUCCUCUACUUUUCCAUCACUCCUCUGUAUCCAGGAAUACAAGUUCACCUGACCUUCCUCACCCAGCCUCCCUGCCAUUCUUUGUCACACUAAAUUGCUCUGUUUCAGGGAGUCAUGUGUGAUGAAGUGGGGCAUCAGGUUCACUAUCACUGGCCUUGAGUAGUAAUAGCCUGUUUCAACUAUAUAAGACUUUUUGAUUGUAGAGGGAAACAUUGGAUUAACUUCUAAUAUCCAUCAUAAUUGCUUUGGAGAGGAUGUGGAAUGCCCACAACCAAGCAAUAUUUUAUCUCACCAUGCAACAAAAGAUUGCUCACUGUGCUCAAUCAUGACCUAACCCACCACAUU